rnacentral:rRNA from 1 species
GAACGCUGGCGGCGUGCUUAACACAUGCAAGUCGAACGGGAAUUACUUUAUUGAAACUUCGGUGGAUUUAAUUUAAUUCUAGUGGCGGACGGGUGAGUAACGCGUGGGUAACCUGCCUUGUACAGGGGGAUAACAGUCAGAAAUGACUGCUAAUACCGCAUAAGCGCACAGGACCGCAUGGUCCAGUGUGAAAAACUCCGGUGGUAUAAGAUGGACCCGCGUUGGAUUAGCUAGUUGGUGGGGUAACGGCCUACCAAGGCGACGAUCCAUAGCCGGCCUGAGAGGGUGAACGGCCACAUUGGGACUGAGACACGGCCCAGACUCCUACGGGAGGCAGCAGUGGGGAAUAUUGCACAAUGGGGGAAACCCUGAUGCAGCGACGCCGCGUGAAGGAAGAAGUAUCUCGGUAUGUAAACUUCUAUCAGCAGGGAAGAAAAUGACGGUACCUGACUAAGAAGCCCCGGCUAACUACGUGCCAGCAGCCGCGGUAAUACGUAGGGGGCAAGCGUUAUCCGGAUUUACUGGGUGUAAAGGGAGCGUAGACGGAUGGACAAGUCUGAUGUGAAAGGCUGGGGCUCAACCCCGGGACUGCAUUGGAAACUGCCCGUCUUGAGUGCCGGAGAGGUAAGCGGAAUUCCUAGUGUAGCGGUGAAAUGCGUAGAUAUUAGGAGGAACACCAGUGGCGAAGGCGGCUUACUGGACGGUAACUGACGUUGAGGCUCGAAAGCGUGGGGAGCAAACAGGAUUAG